UUGGACGCUGGCGGCAUGCCUUACACAUGCAAGUCGAACGGCAGCACGGGGGCAACCCUGGUGGCGAGUGGCGAACGGGUGAGUAAUGCAUCGGAACGUGCCCUGAAGUGGGGGAUAACGUAGCGAAAGUUACGCUAAUACCGCAUAUUCUGUGAGCAGGAAAGCAGGGGAUCGCAAGACCUUGCGCUUUAGGAGCGGCCGAUGUCGGAUUAGCUAGUUGGCGAGGUAAAGGCUCACCAAGGCAACGAUCCGUAGCGGGUCUGAGAGGAUGAUCCGCCACACUGGGACUGAGACACGGCCCAGACUCCUACGGGAGGCAGCAGUGGGGAAUUUUGGACAAUGGGCGCAAGCCUGAUCCAGCAAUGCCGCGUGCAGGAUGAAGGCCUUCGGGUUGUAAACUGCUUUUGUACGGAACGAAACGGCUCUUUUUAAUACAGAGGGCUAAUGACGGUACCGUAAGAAUAAGCACCGGCUAACUACGU
rnacentral:rRNA from 1 species